UGUCUCCGUGGCUUUGAUGAUCUGCAC
rnacentral:piRNA from 1 species